GUAAAUAAUAAAGGGCGUAUGGUGGAUGCCUAGGCUCUCAGAGGCGAUGAAGGACGUGAUAAGCUGCGAAAAGCUCCGUUUAGGUGCAAAUAACCUUUGAUGCGGAGAUCUCCGAAUGGGAUAACCCAAUAUGUUGAAGACAUAUUAUACCGUAAGGUAGGCAAACGCAGGGAACUGAAACAUCUAAGUACCUGCAGGAGAAGAAAACAAACGUGAUUCCCCCAGUAGCGGCGAGCGACCGGGGAUAAGCCCAAACCGUUAUUGUUUCGGCAGUAGCGGGGUAGUAGGACUGCGACAUUGAUGAAAUAAAUGAAAUGGAACACCUUGGAAAAUGUGAUCACAGAGGGUGAUAAUCCCGUACAUGCAAGUUUAUGAAUCAUAGCAGUAUCCUGAGUAAGUCGGGACACGUGUAAUCCUGACCGAAUCCGCCGGGACCAUCCGGCAAGGCUAAAUACUCCUGAGAGACCGAUAGUGAACCAGUACCGUGAGGGAAAGGUGAAAAGCACUUCGAACAGAAGAGUGAAAUAGUCCCUGAACCCAUACGCCUACAAGCUGUCGGAGCCGCUUCGUGCGGUGACGGCGUGCCUUUUGCAUAAUGAGCCUACGAGUUACUCAUCACCAGCGAGGUUAAGUACUUCAGGUACGUAAGCCGAAGCGAAAGCGAGUCUGAAUAGGGCGUCAAGUUGGUGGUGGUAGACGCGAAACCUUAGUGAUCUACCCAUGGGCAGGGUGAAGGUUUGGUAACACAAACUGGAGGCCCGAACCGGUAAACGUUGAAAAGUUUUCGGAUGACCUGUGGGUAGGGGUGAAAGGCCAAUCAAACUGGGAAAUAGCUCGUACUCUCCGAAAUGCAUUUAGGUGCAGCCUCUGUUGUUUUGUUCUAGAGGUAGAGCUACUGAUUGGAUGCGAGGGCUUCACCGCCUAUCAAAUCCGGCCAAACUCCGAAUGCUAGAACAUGAAGACAGGGAGUGAGCCAGCGGGUGCUAAGGUCCGUUGACGAAAGAGGGAGAACUCAGACCAUCAGCUAAGGUCCCCAAUUAUAUGCUAAGUUGGAAUAAAAACGGGGUGGGACUGCUUAGACAGCUAGGAUGUUGGCUUGGAAGCAGCCAUUCAUUUAAAGAGUGCGUAACAGCUCACUAGUCGAGCGGUCCUGCAUGGAUAAUACGCGGGCAUAAGCAUAUAACCGAAGCUAUGGGAUUGUAGAUGAUACAAUCGGUAGGAGAGCAUUCCAUUCAGCAUAGAAGCAGUAUCGUGAGGUAUUGUGGAGCGGAUGGAAAAGCAAAUGUAGGCAUAAGUAACGAUAAUGCGGGUGAGAACCCCGCACGCCGAAAGAUCAAGGAUUCCCCGGCAAUGUCAAUCAUCCGGGGGUAAGUCGGAUCCUAAGGGUAAGCCGAGUGGCGAUCCCGAUGGUAAACAGGUUAAUAUUCCUGUACUGAUCAUAACUGCGAUGCAGCGACGCAGAGGUGACACUGCUGCGUACUGACGGAAUAGUACGUUGAAACCCGUAUUCUUUGAUACCGGUAGUGAAGCACGCCGGUAGAGAUGAAAGGUGAUAGUACCGCAAUGCUUCGGUUGCGCGGAUAACGCAGGUAAGCUGACUGCCAAGAAAACCUGCUAAGCUUCAGGUAAUGAUCAUCCGUACUGUAAACGGACACACGUGAUCAGGUAGAAAAUACUAAGGCGCUCGAGAGAUUCAUGGUUAAGGAACUAGGCAAAAUGGUCCUGUAACUUCGGGAUAAAGGACGCUCUUGUGAAAGAGCCGCAGAUAAUAGGCCCAGGCGACUGUUUACCAAAAACACAUGGCUAUGCUAAUUCGCAAGAAGAUGUAUAUGGCCUGACACCUGCCCGGUGCCGGAAGGUUAAGAGGAGAGCUCAGAGGUAACUCGAAGGUUUGAAUUGAAGCCCCGGUAAACGGCGGCCGUAACUAUAACGGUCCUAAGGUAGCGAAAUUCCUUGUCGGGUAAGUU
rnacentral:rRNA from 1 species